rfam:Triticum aestivum genome assembly, contig: Triticum_aestivum_CS42_TGACv1_scaffold_641197_T_4BS-0.178267_1DL-0.133121
CAACUACUCCCUCCGUCCUAACAUUCUUGUCUUAUAUUUGUCUAAAUACAAAUAUAUCAAGUCACAUUUUAGUAUUAGAUACAUCCGUAUCUAGACAAAUCUAAGACAAUAAUUUUGGGACGGAGGGAGUACUUU